UACGAAGGGGGCUAGCGUUGCUCGGAAUCACGUGGGCGUAAAGCGCACGUAGGCGGCUUGUUAAGUCAGGGGUGAAAUCCUGGAGCUCAACUCCAGAACUGCCUUUGAUACUGGGAAUCUCGAGUCCGGGAGAGGUGAGUGGAACUGCGAGUGUAGAGGUGAAAUUCGUAGAUAUUCGCAAGAACACCAGUGGCGAAGGCGGCUCACUGGCCCGGUACUGACGCUGAGGUGCGAAAGCGUGGGGAGCAAACAGG
rnacentral:rRNA from 1 species